CCCUAAUUUUUUUUCCAGCGGCAUUCCCCCUUCUCUCAUCUCUGUGUUCUUGAUUUUCUUUGCAACCCUAAUUUUUUAUUCUCUUAUCUCUUCGUAGAUCAGCACCACCACUAUCAGUCUACGGCCGCCAUCACUCCUUUGCCCCCACCACCACCACUUCAUCGCCACCACUCCGGCCGCCAUUAAGGGGCGAGAUCACCACCUGAAGUCGGCGGUUUCUUUAAAAGCACGACUAUGAUGCUUGAGGGCCAUCAUCCUCAUCGUUGGAAAGCAAUGAAAGCCUCUCUCGG